rnacentral:rRNA from 1 species
AUUGAACGCUGGCGGCGUGCCUAACACAUGCAAGUCGCACGCGAAAGGUAGCAAUCCCGAGUAGAGUGGCGGACGGGUGAGUAACGCGUAGGAAUCUACCUAGUAGUGGGGGACAACCCGGCGAAAGCCGGGCUAAUACCGCAUACGACCUAAGGGUGAAAGCCGGGGAUCGCAAGACCUGGCGCUAUUAGAUGAGCCUGCGUCCGAUUAGCUAGUUGGUGAGGUAACGGCUCACCAGGCAACGAUCGGUAACUGGUUUGAGAGAACGACCAGUCACACUGGGACUGAGACACGGCCCAGACUCCUACGGGAGGCAGCAGUGGGGAAUCUUGGACAAUGGGGGCAACCCUGAUCCAGCGACGCCGCGUGUGUGAAGAAGGCCUCGGUUGUAAG